rnacentral:rRNA from 1 species
UACAGAGGUCUCAAGCGUUGUUCGGAUUCAUUGGGCGUAAAGGGUGCGUAGGCGGCAGCGCAAGUCAGGUGUGAAAUCCCGGGGCUCAACCCCGGAACUGCACUUGAUACUGCGUUGCUAGAGUACUGGAGAGGAGACUGGAAUUUACGGUGUAGCAGUGAAAUGCGUAGAUAUCGUAAGGAAGACCAGUGGCGAAGGCGAGUCUCUGGACAGUUACCGACGCUGAGGCACGAAGGCCAGGGGAGCAAACGGG